UAUCCCAGCAGCUUUUGUAUCUGACACCAGUGAUCUCUGCUCAGGAAGUCUUCUAGUUUCUUUUAAUUCCCAACUGAAUCUCUACAAUUCAAAGGCUUCUUUAUUAAACCUCCUCGUUCCACCGACGUUCCCCUACCCCUCCUGGUUUCUAUAUGGUCAUUCCAUCUUGGCCCCAUAAUUUUUGGGGGUGACCUCUUGUGGUGUUGAGCGGGGUGUUUCACAUUAUGUGGACAGCUGUUUUUUCUGCCUGGGAUGGAAGCUAUCCUUAUUAGACCGCCUGAUGCUGCCGUUUGGACUGCAGCACAUCAUUGAGACACAUCAUCAAGCCACACAAACUCUCUGAAGAAGACCUUCAAAGGUCGAAAC